rnacentral:rRNA from 1 species
ACAUGCCUACAGCAUAGCGUUAAUGCACCAAAUCCCAUUAGAAAUCCGCAUUUAAGCGAGCUCAGGAUAGAGUAGUACUAGGAUGGGUGAUCACCCGGGAAGUCCUAGUGUUUUACAUGCC